GCCAUGAUGGGCGUGGCCGCCAUGAUGGAGGCGGCCUCCAAUGGCGCCGGGCCUGGGCGCUGCCCUUCUGCGUGCCUGCCCACCGCAAACUGGUCGGUGCGCCUCAGGGGAGGUGUAGGAAGCAGUGUGGGCUGCGUGAGCUGUGCCUCGGCCUCCUUAGGGCUCGGGUGUUCGUUGUUGGGGAGGCCUACGAUGUGUCAUAAGUAAAUACACACUGCACAAGUGAUGCCCCCGCCAGGAACAGCCCCUCAGGCAUGGCGAGGGCUGCGAGCGGAGCGGGCGGUGGGUUGUGGCCUUGCUGGAAGCUGAGGGCUGCCCCGAGCUGCUGCUGCAUUCUCCAGCCCCACAGCAGAGCUUGGCAGACCUCCUAUCACCCCACUGCCCCCAGUGCUGCCCCCGGUGACCCCACACCCCAGUGGGAUGUGUUAGCAGGGCCGCUCCAAAAUCCGUCACGCUCCGGGCUCUGCGAGGAGGCAGUUCUCAGCAUUUCACACUGACGCCCCUGGCCCCAGCCAAAUCCCUGCCCCGUGAUGCUGUAAGCGAUCCGGCGCUUCCUGGUGCCUCCCCGCAGGGCUGCGGCACCAUCUGCUCGUGUCACUUUGGCAAUUAGCAGGCCGUGCCCGCUGGCAGCCAGGAGCUGCAGCACAAUUCCCCGUGGCAUGGACUCACGGGUAAUGGGGAGGGUUGCUGCCUCAUCUGUGCUUAAUUAACACAAGGGCUUUGCCCAAUCAGUGCGUGGACCAGCUGAGGGCUUGCAUACCCUGAGCUACGCUUGCCUGGAGGAAUGGAAGCCAGAGCUGGCUGUGAUACAGCAAUCUCUACAAGCCAAAUGUUUCAUCGAGCUGCUGUGGCCAUACAGAAAUGGCAUGGCAUGUGCUCGGGCUGCGUGUGCGUCAGAGAAUUAGCUACUAAAGGGAUGAGGGCGUUUCAACUUACACCGGCGACACGCCAGACAAUGAAAACGACAGACUGAGAGGAGAGGAAACCCAGCCCUGCAAAGCCUGGACGUGUCCUCCACCUCCCUCUGCUCAACCGUGAUAAAAAAUGCCACCUCCUCCCUCCUCAGUGUGCCAGACCCACUCUGCUGGGCAGCCUGUGCCCUGCCACAGCUGCCUCAGGCCAGCAGCGAGGUCUGUACGCAUGCAACAUGACAGCAUCCUCUCUCCUUCUACACAGCAAAGCUCCAUGCUCAUGUUCUUGUGCUGUCCUUUUUGCAAGUGGUUUUAUUUUAAAACUGGAACUCGAGUUCUCCAUUUGUUUAACAAGUCCCCUUUUCUCCUCUUUUUUUUUUUAAAUAAAAUUAAUUUAUUCUACAGAACAGUAAACUCUUCCAGACUCUUCCCUAUUUACAAAUGAACAUGUUUGUUUGCAGACUGCUGCUCCCCCCCACCCCACUCCUAUCCCGUGACGCAGAUGAUGA